rnacentral:misc_RNA from 1 species
GAUGAAGAACGUAGCGAAAUGCGAUAAGUAAUGUGAAUUGCAGAAUUCAGUGAAUCAUCGAAUCUUUGAACGCACAUUGCGCCCGCCAGUAUUCUGGCGGGCAUGCCUGUUCGAGCGUCAUUUCAACCCUCAAGACCCCUUCGGGGGACUUGGUGUUGGGGACCGGCACAGGGGCCUGCCUGCUUGUCUUGCAGCGCCCUCGCCGCCCCCGAAAUGAAUUGGCGGCCUCGUCGCGGCCUCCCCUGCGUAGUAGCACAAACCUCGCAACGGGAACGUGACGGCGGCCACUGCCGUAAAACAACCCAAUUUUAUUAGAGUUGACCUCGAAUCAGGUAGGAAUACCCGCUGAACUUAAGCAUAUCAAUAGCGGAGGA